rnacentral:lncRNA from 13 species
CUGCACCCCUGCUCACAUCCUGUCUGGUGUCUUGGAGCCUGAUGCAACAUAUUGGCACAAGGACAGUGAGGGGUGCACACCUUGCGUAAGAGGAAAUUGAGAAAGAGACAUUCCUUCAAUUCUGGAACAUACAGUGUGAUCUCAAUAAGGCACACAUGCAGAAUUUGGCAGUUGCCUCUCAAAAUAACUCAGUUCCCAUGUGUGAGGUCCAUUCAAAAAGGUGUAUCAUCCCUAGAUUCUCUGACGAGAUGGAGAACUGUGAAUUCUGGGGAUACAGUAGGCCAAAGACAGGCAAGUCUCCACUGCCCUAGGUUGAAACACUACUCUCAGGAGCUGGGUUAGAAGAAAGAUGGAGUCAGACAUGGCCCCACGACAUAGAUACAGAGAAAAGAUGAACGGACCCCAGAGCCAGAGAGUCCCCUGCUCUGCAGAAGUGGGGUUUAGAGAGACGUCAUAGACUCACUCAUUCCACUCCAUGGUUACAGGACUGUCCAACCUGGGGCGCUUCACUUGGCAGGUGUAGACGUCUCCCUGCUCGGAGCUCAUUUCCAGCAUCACCGGGGUCUGGAUGUCCAGUCUCAUUACGAAUCAGAGGCUGGCAAACAAACAGAGAAAGAACAAGAAAAGGAGCAAAUGGAACCAUGUUACUGCAGACGCAAAAAGUCGAAAAACCUGGUAUCAUGGAGGGUUGCUUGGAAGAGUAUCUUGAGCUGGAAGAAAAGCAGCAGGUGAUGAACUACAAGUGACAAAUGACAGCUCCAGAAGACAUUGGAAGGAUGCUGAAGACCUGGAUGUGGCGGAGAAGAGCUUCUAAGAGAAAGAAGCAAUUCAUAAGCAGAAAACUCUUAUAAUAAGCAAACAGGGCAUUAUUGCUGCCCUGUGCAGGCUAACUACUAACCAAAGGAAUCGGAUGGUAUAAAUUGCAGUCUUCCAACAAAAGGAGAAAAUGCAGCAGCAAUCAUCAGAAUGCAUGGGUUUAUGUAGUUAAAAUACCUGGACACAGAAAUCUUCCUCUGGGAAAUUUCUAACUGGGUUGUUUUGGCAGAUGUGAUAUUAGCAGAUGCUGCAGGUAAUAGAGUGUACAGCUAUUAAACAAUGAAUAUGCUCUGAAGAUUACUAACCAUACUAGAAGAAAUUAUCAAAAAUCUAGCCAUUUUUUCACCUUUUUAUUUGAUUGUAUGCUAUUAUCAAAUCAAAUGUGAUGAUAGAGUAGUGCAAUGUGGUUAAAAAAAG